UUCGGAAGCUUACGUUUGGCGGUAUGUCAAUACAUGCUAGUCGAAGGAAGCCUUCGGUGUUAGUGGCGAACGGGUGAGUAACAUGUACCUAAUCUACCUAGUAGAGGGGGAUAACAGUUGGAAACAAUUGCUAAUACCGCAUAAUAAUUAUUAUCAUAAGAUAAUACUUCAAAGGAGCGCUUGCUCCGCUAUUAGAUGAGGGUGCACCGUAUUAGUUGGUUGGUGAGGUAAUGGCUCACCAAGACAAUGAUACGUAGCCGACCUGAGAGGGUGAACGGCCACAUCGGGACUGAGACACGGCCCGAACUCCUACGGGAGGCAGCAGUAGGGAAUUUUUCACAAUGGGCGCAAGCCUGAUGGAGCAAUGCCGCGUGAUUGAUGAAGAUCUUAGGAUUGUAAAAAUCUGUUGUUAGUGAUGAAUAUUUAAGUUAGGAAAUGAUCUUAAUAUGACAGUAACUAACCAGAAAGCCACGGCUAACUAUGUGCCAGCAGCCGCGGUAAUACAUAGGUGGCAAGCGUUAUCCGGAAUUAUUGGGCGUAAAGAGUGCGCGGACGGGUUUAGCAAGUUUAAGGUUAAAUACUAAGGCUCAACCUUAGUUCGCCUUAAAAACUGUUAGACUAGAAUAUAGAGGAAGUUGAUGGAAUUCCAUAUGUAGUGGUGGAAUACGUAAAUAUAUGGAGGAAUACCAGAGGCGAAGGCGGUCAACUAAUCUAUCAUUGACGUUUAGGCACGAAAGCGUGGGGAGCAAAUAGGAUUAGAUACCCUAGUAGUCCACGCUGUAAACGAUGGAGUACUAGUUGUCAGCAUUAUGUUGGAACGCAGCUUACGCAUUAAGUACUCCGGCCUGAAUAGUAUGCUCGCAAGAGUG
rnacentral:rRNA from 1 species